ensembl:lncRNA
GACAAAGCUGUAAUUACAUUGUAGACGAAACGCAGUGAUGACCGGGAGGGGAUGCUAUUCGAUACGCUUGUUUCUUUAUGAAAUACCUUUGAUUCUGAUGUCAUAUCGUUGACACUGAUGUCAUGUCUCAUCACUCAGAAGUUAUAUAAAGUGAGCUCCUUCCAUUGGCAGAUUUAAAGGAGCAAGGCAGCGAAGGAACUACAGUCCUCAGGACAGCAUUCAAACUCUACUAAAACCAAAGGAACCAAUAAGAGCCAGUGAAAAUGAAUCUGAAGACAGGUUUCGUGGUCAUUCUCUUGUGUUUUGCUGGCUGGAUGACAAACACAGCAGGGGAAACAACUACCACAGCUGGACCAACAACUACUAACGCUGGCCAGACAACUACCACAGCUGGCCAAACUACAGCCACAGCUGGACCAACAACUACCACAGCUAGCCAAAAGACCACCACAGCUGGACAAUCAACCACCACAAACGGACCAACAACCACCACAGGUAGCCCAACAACUACCACCACUGGACCAACGACAACAACAGCUAGCCAAACAACCACCACAGCUGCCCC